CGGGGCCAGGCUGCCUCGCUAAACGAUGCACACCUGUAACUCACGUGACCCUGAUUAUGAUUGAAAUGAGAACGAGGGCGUCGUGCCUUUAUAAGACUGCGUUAAUGUUUCCGUGGAGUUAUCCCUUCCGUUGUUGUUUAUUGAUUGUUAAACAUGGCUUCAUUUGCAAAGGUGGUUGUGUGUCUCCUCAUUGCUUGUGUCUGUAAUGCAUUCUGUUUUCCGAAGAGAGAUGUGAACUUUAAGGCCUCUGCAGUUGACCGACAAAGUGAUGAUGUGGUUGUCACCACAACACCAGUUCCCCACAACCAGACCACAUCUGUCAAUACUGAAGCUGGUGGUGCAAGUGAAGAUGCUGUGGCUACUACCCCAGCACCUAAUCCACACAACCAGACAACUCCUGCACAAACUGAAGUUACUGAUGGAGCCAGUGAAGAUGCUGUGGACCGCCAAAGUGAUGAUGUGGUUGUCGCCACAACACCCGAUCCCCACAACCAGACCACAUCUGUCAAUACUGAAGCUGGUGGUGGUGCAAGUGAAGAUGCUGUGGCUACUACCCCAGCACCUAAUCCACACAACCAGACAACUCCUGCACAAACUGAAGUUACUGAUGGAGCCAGUGAAGAUGCUGUGGACCGCCAAAGUGAUGAUGUGGUUGUCGCCACAACACCCGAUCCCCACAACCAGACCACAUCUGUCAAUACUGAAGCUGGUGAUGGAGCAAGUGAAGAUGCUGUGGCUACCACCCCAACACCAAAUCCUCCAACUACAUCUGACCACACUGCAGCUACCGUAUCCCAUACGACUGAAGUCUGAUUCAACUGCUCCUCUGGUCACAAUGACCUGAGUCACUGUCUGGACUUUUUGCCUCUACAUGUUGACUGCAAUAAAGGACAGAUUUGUUUUUUUAAUCA
rnacentral:lncRNA from 1 species